GAUCAUGGCUCAGGAUGAACGCUGGCGGCGUGCUUAACACAUGCAAGUCGAGCGAGGCGCUUAUGAUGAUCCUUCGGGUGAUUCAUUUGUGACUGAGCGGGCGGACGGGUGAGGUAACGCGUGAGUAACCUGCCUCAUACAGGGGAAUAACAGUUAGAAAUGACUGCUAAUGCCGCAUAAGCGCACAGGGCCGCAUGGCCAGGUGAGAAACGUCGGUGACG
rnacentral:rRNA from 1 species